GGGGUAGUACUUUAAGAAAAAGAGUCGAUUUGCGUUUGAUUAAUAGAGGUAACUCUCUACCCUU
rnacentral:tRNA from 1 species